CCACCCCCUCCAAAAGUGAUUCUGGGUCCAGGGCUAUACCCUCUCUGCAUAAGGGAAGUUUGGGUAUUGGCUGGAGGAAGGAUGUCCUGGGCUUGCCAGACUAUCCCAGGGGUAUUCAGACUGCAAAGACCACCCAGGCAGGACUCAGGACUCACAGAAGCCUUGUGCCCUUUCCUGUGAACACUAUAUCAAGGGAUUGGCCACCAGUUUCUUCCCAGCACUCCCUCUCUCCUACCCUUAUCCUUUUUCCCUCUUUCACCUGAGUAAGAGGGAGGUGGGGAUAGCUAGCCUAGAGGUGAAAACCCUGGAGGGGGAGUCUGAAUGUAGUUCUCUCACCAUCCUCCCAGUCUGUUCAGCUUUGAUGUAGGAUGAGGUGGGCCAGUUUGCCUCCCCAAAGCCAGUGAGGGUGCAUGUUAGGAAGUGUAUACCCAUUGAACAGAUGAGAACACAGAAGAGUUACCUAGGCAACAUCCAGAAAAUGAGGCAGCACAGGAUAAAGGCCUCUGUCAAGUGUUUCUGCCAUAUUCUCAAUGCCACUCUGGGAGACCUGGUACAAAGAGGAAACAUGGGAGGCAAUCCCAGAAGGCCGCAGUGCCUAUGGGGCAGCCCUCCAAGAAGUCCUAUUGAUAGUCUUGCCUACCCUCAGCCAGAUGACUGGCAACAUGCCAGGGAUCCCUGCCGCAGCUUGAGGUAGCAGCAUCCUGCUUUAUGUGGUGCAAGCUGCACCAAAUGGUGAGGGGCAUUAGCUGGAUGACGUCAGGCAAGACCAGUUCACCUGGGCAGGUGGGGAUAAGCCUCGUCUUCCAAUCAGUGCUGCUUGCAGAUGUAGGAUUAGGGGGCUGUGAUACCCUCACCACUACUCCCAGCCUCCAUAUAUGUCAGAAGCCAGAAGGAGCCUCAGCCUGAGUCAGGCAGACCUGGGCUUGCACCUGAGCUCUGUCCUACCUGAGUCAGCUUGGACUGGCCAGUCAGCUUCAAGCCUCAGUUUCCUCAGUCAUGAGAUGAGAAGCAGCCUCCCCUUGAGGGUCUGGCGAGGAUUGCUAUCACGCAUGUCACGUGCCUGACAGUAACAUGCUUAGUAAUAUAAUUCUUUUAAGUGCAGCACUGCCCAUGCCCUGCUCACCCCAAACUCAACCCUUGUGCUGGGUGGACAGUCCCUCAUGGCUGACGGAUGGCCCUGCAACCCUGCCUUGUACUUGGCAGGCUCCCCUGGUGCAUGUGCCUCUGUUGCAAUCAGCAAGGUUGGGGGCGGGGCAUAGGCUCUCAGGAGGAUGGCCAAAAUGAAAAUGGUGCCCAAGUGGGGCUGAUCCUAUUAAGAUACAGAUGCACUUAACCUCGCCUCGGAAGUUCUUUAGAUCCAACCGAAGAGCGCUCCCAGAUGCCAAAGUGGUCUCGCACUGAUGCUCAGCUUGCUCUUGGCAGGCUGGCCACAUGCUCCCCUCAGGUAAUUGGUCUCCUAAUGCACCAUCCCUGGCUGGAUUCCAGAAUUCUACUGCCUCCUCCCCUUGAGGUCAGUUCUUGACGUCUCCCAGCCCAGCAAGCAGGUCACCAACCAAACAGACUCAGAUGCACUCCCACCAGCUGGUCAGUCACUUUUUCUUUAUUUCUUUCUUUAUUUUUUUUUGGUGCUUGGGACCAUUUCUAACUGUACAGAACGCCUUGGCCUGGAAGAUUAAAUAAGAUUGCCUGUCUGGAAUGCUGUUCAAGACCAGGGCUUUUAUGGCCAGAGAUUGUAUUAGAUGUGGUGGGGGAGAUAUAAAAGGAAGACACAAUCCCUUCCAUUGCAGAUAGCAGUAGACCGAUGGGGCUUUUAUUUUCUUUUGCAAAAUUAGUUUUUUCUCCUUACACAAAAGGAUUGUGUGUUCUUUGCAAAAAGUUAAAAAGAUAAAAUGAAAAAUUGUAAUUUCAUAAGCCAGAAAUGACAAGUUUUCACAGUUUGCAGUAUUUUUUCCCACACAUUUGUGUACUUAAAAAAGUUACAUCACAAUUUAUAGUCUUGUAACCUUUUUCUUCCUAUGUAGGUUGGCAGAUGACAUUAAUUUAAACAUCACUUUGAGAGGCUGCAUAAUGUUGUAUAUAGUAGUAGUAUUAUUUAACCAGUAUUGAGAUUGUAGUGAUGUUGGUUGUUUUUACUAUUAGUGACCAUUUUGUUUGGAAAUUAUGAGAGUGGACGAUGAGAGGCAGAUAGAGGCACAACUCAAAGUCCACACCCUGGCCUCAUUUGAACCUCAAUUCAAACAAUGAGAACAGGUGACACUCUACAAAGCUGAAAUAUGUGCCAGGCACUGGUACGAAGUGCUUUCUGUAUACUAACACCUGAUUUACUAAUCCUCAGGCUGAGGACAAGCUGCUGCUUUAUCCCCACUUUAUCUUUAACUGAGGAAACUGAGGCAUGGCCUAGCAGAAUGGACGCGUACAGUUGUCCUUUAACAAAAACUCUGAGUACAUCUGAGACUGCUUCUCACAACCCAAAAGUGGGCUUUCUGCCUGAUCCCACAGGCUGUGCAUACUUGAAGGCUUUGGGUGCAUAAUACCAAUGGCUUUCCAGAAAGGGCACUCACUUAUUGCCCUACAUCAAUGUUAGAGCACAUCUGAGAAACUGCCGCGUUCUUUGACACUCCCUCCUGGGUGGAGAACCUGCCCUGGGCCUGACCCAGAGCAAGGAGAACUCAGUCCAUUGCAGCCCACAUUCCAUUGUCAUUAUGUUUUGUAUCAUUUGUUGAAAAAAAUCAAGACACAGUUGAAGAUGGACAGUAACAAAUUUGAAAGGACGGUUUGUGACAGUGCAGCAGGAGUCACAGCACAACAUGAAAGCUCCAUGGGGUGGCCAGGGAAGGCUUCGUGGAGGAAGAGGCACGUGGAGAAUGGGGAGGAGGAUCCUGUACAGUGGUGGCUGUAACGCUCAUGAGCAGGGAGGGGCCCCACAUGGCCUGCGUUCGGGGCUCAUGUGGGAAGAGAUGGUGGAAGGAAGUGGGCUGGAUCAGGCCAGAGAACCUGCUCGGACAGGGGGCUUCGCAGCCGGGAGCCAGUGAGGGCUUGUGAAUUUUAGAAAAAUGGAUGUAUCAGGAUGGAGGGAGGGUAGGAGACUGGAGGUAGGAAGACCUGGGGGGACUGUGCUCUGUGGCCUGGUGGGCCCCUCUGGGAAUGGUGAGGACAAAGAUGUUGGGUCUCCUUAUGCUGGUAACACCCCUUCUUCCCAUGAAUUCCGAAGAGAGAAAAACAUGGGACUUGGCUGUGAGGGCAGAACAUCAGUGUGACCACUGGUACAGCUGGGCAGGAGGCCAUGGCUUACACAGGGCCAGUCAGGCCUCUUGGUCCUCCCUCACCAAGAUUGGCCCACCAGCUGCCAGGUCGCUGCUGCCCACUGAGCCUGCCCGUGGGGACUGGGGGAGUUGUCCUUCUAGAAAGUGGACACUGGCCCUUCCCAGGCACCCUUCCCCACAUGGUGGUCACAGGAGCUGAGCAGCGUACACGCGUCUAUGGGCAGGCGGGUCUGAAAGGGGGCAGGACAGGGCCAGAUUUCACAUACCCAACACAGUCCUUCUCUCCAGCUCCCCAUCAGAUAAAUCAUUCCCUUUCUCUUGGGAAAGAGAGUAAGGGAGGCUGGGGGAAGGAUGGGGGUUGCCUUUCCAACUCUCUUCCUCCUGGGACUGGAAUGCGCCUUUCCUCAUUGCCACAUAAGGUAGGACCCAUACCCCAUGCUGCACAGUGCUCCCAGGUCUAAUCCAAGAUGCUUCCCAGGAAAGGCUACCAGGCAGAAGGUGACAGCCUACUCCUGUGGUGUAAAUUUUGGUGCCCGAUAAACCUGGUUCUAGUUCCAACUCCUCCACUUACUGCCACAUAGACUUUGGCAAAUUUCCUAGCUCGAGUUUCCCCACCUAUAAAACAGGGUUAUUGCAAGAAAUGAGUGAGAAGCGAGCAUCUGCUGUAGUCCCCGUGGCUGUUCUUAGGGAAAUGUGUGGAGCUGUGAAGGAAGGACCCUCUCUUGGGUUGGGGACCAGGUGAGGUGGGCUUGUGGGACUCUGGCAGACCUUACUACUUACUUCUGUGUUGACGGGUCUAAGACGAGCUGGGGGAGGAGGGCCCAGUCUAGCAAUGAAGGGAUGAAUCUGCAGGGGGGCAUUGU
rnacentral:lncRNA from 1 species